UGGGGAAUAUUGGACAAUGGGGGCAACCCUGAUCCAGCAAUGCCGCGUGAGUGAUGAAGGCCUUAGGGUUGUAAAGCUCUUUCGGCGGGGACGAUGAUGACGGUACCCGCAGAAGAAGCCCCGGCAAACUUCGUGCCAGCAGCCGCGGUAAUACGAAGGGGGCAAGCGUUGUUCGGAAUCACUGGGCGUAAAGGGCGCGUAGGCGGUUUACUGAGUCAGGCGUGAAAGCCCCGGGCUUAACCUGGGAACUGCGCUUGAUACUGGUAGACUUGAGUUCGGGAGAGGCGGGUGGAAUUCCCAGUGUAGAGGUGAAAUUCGUAGAUAUUGGGAAGAACACCAGUGGCGAAGGCGGCCCGCUGGACCGACACUGACGCUGAGGCGCGAAAGCGUGGGGAGCAAA
rnacentral:rRNA from 1 species